UCUAGAGGCUUCGUCAAUGCCCGAAAGGGUGAACGAGCGACGCCGCGUGCGGGAUGAAGGCUUUCGGGUCGUAAACCGCUUUUGUUUGGGAAGAAUGCCUGUGUCGUGAACAUGGGAGGGACGGUACCAGACGAAUAAGCCUCGGCUAACUCCGUGCCAGCAGCCGCGGUAAGACGGAGGAGGCAAGCGUUGUUCGGAAUUAUUGGGCGUAAAGGGCUCGUAGGCGGACCAGCAAGUCUGGCGUGAAAUCUCCACCGCUCACCGGGGAGAGGUCGCUGGAAACUGCUGGUCUGGAGUUUGGCAGAGGGUCGUGGAAUUCCAAGUGUAGCGGUGGAAUGCGUAGAUAUUUGGAAGAACACCUGUGGCGAAGGCGGCGACCUGGGCCAAAACUGACGCUGAGGAGCGAAAGCUAGGGGAGCAAACGGG
rnacentral:rRNA from 1 species